rnacentral:rRNA from 1 species
GAUCAUUAUAAAGUUUGAUUGACUUAGUCAGUCUUUCUUCUAUCUCUGCUUAUAACAAACCACGUUGCUUCGGCAGACCUGGAUUGAUUAGUGGUUGAUGUGUUUUGUCUUCGGGCAUAACCUCACUACUAGGAUGUCCUCUGGGGGAUUUAUCUCUCGGUCGUGUCUGUCAAGAGGCCUCAACCAUUCUUAAUUAAUUUUGCCUAAUCUUGAACUGAAGAAUUGGUCUUUGGACUUUUUUUUCGGCUCUAUUAUUUUAAAUUAAAUAAAACUUUCAACAACGGAUCUCUUGGUUCUGGCAUCGAUGAAGAACGCAGCGAAAUGCGAUAAGUAAUGCGAAUUGCAGAAUUCCGUGAGUCAUCGAAUCUUUGAACGCACAUUGCGCCCUUUGGUAUUCCAAAGGGCAUGCCUAUUCGAGCGUCAUUAUCAACCCUCUAGUAAAGACUUUGUGUCGGUGACUAGGCCUUGGGAGAUGUCUGUUUAACUGACCCUCCUCAAAUUCAACGAGUCAAGUCCCUGUGUCUUGGUCCACUGAGCUUCGGCCGGAUCAAGACAUAGGGAUUUGACUUAUAAUUUUUUUCGUUUUUUUUAACGAAAUUUUUCUAGGUUGACCUCGAAUUAGGUAGGAGUACCCGCUGAACUUAAGCAUAUCAAUAAGCGGAGGAAAAGAAACCAACAGGGAUUGCCUUAGUAACGGCGAGUGAAGCGGCAACAGCUCAAAUUUGAAAUCUGACUUGUUUACGAGUCCGAGUUGUAAUUUGCAGAGGAAGUUUUGGGUACCGCCCGGAUGUAAAUGUCUUGGAACAGAAUGUCAUAGAGGGUGAGAAUCCCGUCUGUCAUCGGUGGUAGGGCCCGUGUAAAACUCCUUCGACGAGUCGAGUUGUUUGGGAAUGCAGCUCAAAAUGGGUGGUAAAUUUCAUCUAAAGCUAAAUAUUGGCCAGAGACCGAUAGCGCACAAGUAGAGUGAUCGAAAGAUGAAAAGCACUUUGAAAAGAGAGUUAAACAGUAUGUGAAAUUGUUGAAAGGGAAGCAUAUGCUCCCAGACGUGGGCCUCCGGUUCCCCCUGCCUUUUGGUUGGGUUACUCCGGAUGGUUCAGGCCAACAUCAGUCAUGAGGGUGGGUUAAAGGCUUGAAGAAUGUAUCUACCUCCGGGUCGACUUAUAGCUUCAGGUGUCAUGCCACCUCUCGUGACUGAGGUACGCGC